GCCUGGGUGGCUCAGUUGGUUAAGCGUCUGACUUUGGGUCAGGUCAUGAUCUCACGGUUUGCGGGUUCCAGCCCUGCCUCGGGCU
rnacentral:tRNA from 1 species